GCUCAUUGACUCUUCUUUCACUUAGUUGUCACAUCCAAGUAGGUUCGCAUCACUUCUGCUUUCGAUUGGCAUUUCGUUGGGAAAUGAAGCGGACCAUCUACUCUCAGUAGCACUGAUCACCGUUAGUGAGGAUUUGACAACUAAAGUCUUCCAUUAUCUUCGAAGGGUCUUUGAACUUGUGCAGAGCUCCUCUGUUGGAUAGAUAAGAGAAUUGGGGUACUCGGUUUCGCCCAUUCUCUUAAGAGUUGAGAAGGCAAAGGUUACUUGACUUCGCCCGCCUCCUCGAGGUUGUACUCCAUGCAUCGAGCUGGUUACUGGCCAUCGCCUGCUCUUUGCUCACACUUCUGAAGCACUUGAAGUGUUUGCACUCCUUGCGUUGAGUUGGUUACUGUGAUUCACCUUCUCAAUGCCAUCAAACUUCUGGAAUGCGGGAAGUUUUCACCUCAACUUGGAGUAAUUCUCUCAUAGGUUUGGUCGCCUCUGGGAUUGUACCGUCUUCUCCAUCAACCCUGCCGCCUACUCCAUUGAGUAGCAAAGGUACAGCACCGCGUACUGCCUGCUUCGUUCCUUGGUUAUGCACUCUUACAUGACCCGAAGUCCUUCACUUUCGGCUAUCUUGAUGAGAAGCUCAUUGACACCGGUCUUACGAAGUUCCUCGGCCUCUGCCCUUCAGCCUUGUCUCGGUACUUGGAGCCUGCCUCUGCAUGCUCCACCUCCUCGGCCCCUUUCACGACCAAGCGCUCUCCCUCCAUGAGAGCAAGGGAUCAAUGACUUUCACAGAAGUCCCGCCUCUGCGGUACCAUGGCGCUGCCAUGCCCAUGGCCCUACUAUCCGUCGCCUCGCAUCUGCAUCCCUUUUCUUCACGAUCAGUAGAUAUGUCUCUGUGGCACUCCUCUAAGUCCACCUCCAUUCUAACUGAUGCUUGAUUUUGGGUAGCUAAGUCCCUCUGGACUUGUCAUCGCUUCCUCGCUCCUUUCAACCCCUUGCUUCAACACCUCUGUGUUCUCCAAGCAGUCUGUUUGGUCGAUGGAAAGACAGACUGUAACUCCCAUGCAUGGCCUCUGCCAUCACGUUGUAGGGUUUGCACCUAUUCUGUUCUCCUUAGCUUCCUUGGUAGCAACGUCCGCUUACUCGACCUUGUCCUCUGACUUGUCAGGCUCCCUUAAGCGAAUAUGAGCUCUGGAGCAGUCCAACUCUCCAGCUGCUUCGAUCAUACCUCUGCAUGAUCAAGUCCCUCCCAUGGAACUCACUGGUACUUGCAUUCGAACUUUUCCCUUGGUGGAACACAGCCCCCAUAUGCUGAUGACCAAGGCUUUCAUCCGAUGCAAAAUUUGAUGCACGCACGGAAGACCCGCCUCUGCGGUACCAUGGCCUUCACUCCUUGAAUCCAUGGCCCUUCUUACCGUCGUGUUGUUCACCGAAGUGGAGCUCCCAAUAGCUCCCGAUCAUACCUCCAUAUGAUCUAAUCCCUGACGGGUCCAGGUUGUGUGUAUCGCAUUGCCACGAACUGUUCUACCACGAUCCGCUGCACCAUGUCGCCUCCUGGUGACAUUUCCAUUGCAUUCUGAUCCUUGUGGAAUAAACUCGAAUUGUGAACCCUCAAUGUGUGGCCUCUGCCAAUACAUCGCAGGGUCUCUUCCACCUUCGAUUUUGUUCGCUCCUUUGGCAAUCAACCUUCAUCCACCCACUCCUGGGUCACACCUAGAUGAAGCACCGCUCUAGGACAGUCCGUCGCCUAGUAGCUCCCGAAGUCCACUGACUUCACUGUAAUUUGUGCACCAUUGUCUGGAUCCUGGGCCUCUGCCCCUACCAGCACAAUCUCCGCUGCGCACCGCUUCCUUCAUGGCAACUUGAAUGGCAACACUGUGGCAUAUUCUUCAAGAGUACCCGCCUCUGCGUCCUCUUGCCCCAUGCUAAGGCCUUCUGAACCCAACUUCGCCUCCGC
rnacentral:lncRNA from 1 species